CCUCUACAAGUGUGACAUCAGCGGUCAUGGAGAGUCUCCAUCCAGCUGGAUCACUGUCACAGGUAAACCCAAAACUACAGCCCCCCUUCAACUUGCAUUCAGAGCUGUCAUCUACCUGCUGAUUUUCUGCCCGUUCUUCAUCUCCACUCUGCUCUUGGUGUCUAUAUAUCGACGCAGAGACAAAGGAAAUGAAAUUUGUAUUUCAAUCCCAGCCACUCAGCCUGAGCAAGGACUGGAUUAUGAGAAUAAUGAUGUCACCACAGAACAUCGCUUCUGAAUGAGAGCUCUGUUGUGUCUCAGUAACUUUGUCCUCGUCAGCUCUGUUGAGGAGAUGAUUUGAAUAAAUGUACUAUGAUGUUCAUAUCUGGAUAAUUAAUUGUAGAUAAAAACCAAACAUUAGUGAUCAGAGGAGGAUGGCCAACAUAUUCUGUGUCUACCAGAAAUGGCACGAACCCACUUAUUUAUGUUUGAUACCGAUACCAAUAUCAUAAAUUUGGAUAUCUGCUGAUACUGAUAUGAAUCUGAUAUAGUCUAUUUUAUAAUCAAUAAAACAGUUUUGUUAAUGUCUUGCUGCAUUUUUUAUACGUUCAUACUCCAGUUGUAAAAAGGAAAACACUAAAAUUAUUCUAUUACACUUGUAUGCAAAAACUACACUACAGCCAAAAUAUUUCACAGUUCAUCUUUUUUACUUAAACAUUCAGCAGAACUUUAAAUCUAAGUAUUUAAAGUAAUAUUCAAAAAAAGGAUUUAAAAUGCAUUUUUUUUGCAGAUUUCAAAAGCUCUGGUUCUGAAAAAAAGAAGUGCAAUGUCAGCACAAAAUAAGGUUUAUAUUCAACAAUUAAAAUAAACAGGUUAUAGAAUGGACCCUUUCAUACUUAAAGCUGAACAUAUAUAGACACGAAACUGUUUAGCCUGUGACAAUGCGUUUUGCAAAGUAAUACUUGAGUCUAUCCAUUGUAUGGUCAGACGUAGCGAUGACAACGCACAACGUCAAAGCUUCGUAGAUUUUCUUUUCUUUUUUCAUUUUCUAAUAUCUGUAAAUUCCUGAUCAUGUAAGUAAGACUGGACCUCGGAAUCAUUUUUUCUAUCUUCUUGUCACCAGAGAUGGGCAGUAAGGCGUUACUGUAAUCUGAUUACUUUUUU